AGGACGGUUGAAACUUUGAACAUGUUUCCUGUUUGUCGUUACAGAGGAACAGACUCCAGAGUCUCCACUUCUGGAUGAACCAUGGAGGGAACUAUGCUGGGGAGACAGACAAAGGGAUCUUCAGUAUGUGCAGGAGUACAAACCUGCAAGAGAGGACAUCAGGUACCUUCGAGUCCUGCUAUAUGGACCUGUUGGAGCUGGAAGGUCCAGUUUAAUUAACUCUGUCAGUAAUGUCCUUCGAGAACAAAUUACGAUUCCUGCAUUGGCUAGUGCGACCACAUGUGACAAAAACUUCACCAAACAA